rnacentral:rRNA from 1 species
AUUGAACGCUGGCGGCAGGCCUAACACAUGCAAGUCGAGCGGUAACAUUUCUAGCUUGCUAGAAGAUGACGAGCGGCGGACGGGUGAGUAACGCGUAGGAAUCUGCCCAGUAGUGGGGACAACAGUUGGAAACGACUGCUAAUACCGCAUACGCCCUACGGGGAAAGGGGCUUCGGCUCUCGCUAUUGGAUGAGCCUGCGUGAGAUUAGCUGGUUGGUGAGGUAAUGGCUCACCAAGGCGACGAUCUCUAGCUGGUUUGAGAGGAUGAUCAGCCACACUGGGACUGAGACACGGCCCAGACUCCUACGGGAGGCAGCAGUGGGGAAUAUUGCACAAUGGGCGCAAGCCUGAUGCAGCCAUGCCGCGUGUGUGAAGAAGGCUCUAGGGUUGUAAAGCACUUUCAGCAGUGAGGAAAGGUUGUUGGUUAAUACCCAGCAACUGUGACG